rnacentral:rRNA from 1 species
GUGGGGAAUAUUGCACUAUGGGCGCAAGCCUGAUGCAGCGACGCCGCGUGCGGGAUGGAGGCCUUCGGGUUGUAAACCGCUUUUGAUCGGGAGCAAGCCCUUCGGGGUGAGUGUACGUUUCGAAUAAGCACGGGCUAACUACGUGCCAGCAGCCGCGGUAAUACGUAGUGUGCAAGCGUUAUCCGGAAUUAUUGGGCGUAAAGGGCUCGU